rnacentral:rRNA from 1 species
UACGUAGGGUGCAAGCGUUGUCCGGAAUUAUUGGGCGUAAAGAGCUCGUAGGCGGCCUGUCGCGUCGGCUGUGAAAGCCCGGGGCUCAACCCCGGGCCUGCAGUCGAUACGGGCAGGCUAGAGUGUGGUAGGGGAGACUGGAAUUCCUGGUGUAGCGGUGAAAUGCGCAGAUAUCAGGAGGAACACCGGUGGCGAAGGCGGGUCUCUGGGCCAUAACUGACGCUGAGGAGCGAAAGCGUGGGGAGCGAACAGG